AACGAACGCUGGCGGCAGGCUUAACACAUGCAAGUCGAACGCAUCGCAAGAUGAGUGGCAGACGGGUGAGUAAUGCGUGGGAACAUACCCUUUUCUACGGAAUAGCUCUGGGAAACUGGAAUUAAUACCGUAUACGCCCUUCGGGGGAAAGACUUAUCGGGGAAGGAUUGGCCCGCGUUGGAUUAGCUAGUUGGUGGGGUAAAGGCCUACCAAGUCGACGAUCCAUAGCUGGUCUGAGAGGAUGAUCAGCCACAUUGGGACUGAGACACGGCCCAAACUCCUACGGGAGGCAGCAGUGGGGAAUAUUGGAAAAUGGGCGCAAGCCUGAUCCAGCCAUGCCGCGUGAGUGAUGAAGGCCUUAGGGCUGUAAAGCUCUUUCACCGAUGAAGAUAAUGACGGUAGUCGGAGAAGAAGCCCCGGCUAACUUCGUGCCAGCCGCCGCCGUAA
rnacentral:rRNA from 1 species